UACGGAGGGAGCAAGCGUUACUCGGAAUUACUGGGCGUAAAGGGCGCGUAGGCGGUUUUGUAAGUCUUGUGUGAAAGCCCAAAGCCUAACUUUGGAAGUGCACAAGAAACUGCGAGAAUUGAGUUCCGGAGAGGAAGAUGGAAUUCCCGGUGUAGCGGUGAAAUGCGUAGAUAUCGGGAGGAAUACCAGUGGCGAAGGCGGCUUACUGGCUCAUUCCUGACGCUGAGGAGCGAAAGCGUGGGGAGCAAACGGG
rnacentral:rRNA from 1 species